UAUCCCUGGAGAAGGAUCGCUUGAUCACCUUUUCUUUCGUUUGUUUUCUUUUAAUCUUCUUCCUCUCUUCUCCUCCAUUUUCAAGAAGGGACUAUCGACACUUCGCUAACACGUUUAACUUUUCUGUUUGGAUCUUUUCACUUUUGCGGAGUUUUUUUCUCCCGGAGCUUUUCCGUAAACUUUGCCCUUCACUGACGCCUAUGAUGUAAAAGACAUCCCUCAUUGCGUUAUUCAUGUUCUCUCGUGGUUGGUCUCUUUUUGCCAAUAAUUUCUUUAGCUUAAAAUUUUGCGUCUUUCCUCCCUCUCUCCCCACUGUUUUCAUUCUCCUUUCUCCAGAAGUGUCUGUUCCUCCCUUACUCAACACCCAUCACUGUCCACAGGCGUCGUCUCCUCCAUCCUCGAGAUUGGUGUGCGUCGCAGACAUUACAUCAGCGGGCCCAAGCGACCUACCUUGUCAGACCCUUCUCACCCCCACCGACCCCCACCAAGGAGCGUACUGAGGCGCCCGGAACUAGUAUGCUCUGGCACAGCCUGGAGGGCGUGGCUGUCACUCCUGCAUCCCAGAUUCCUGACCUGGCGCAGUCUGGAAGGUGUGGCUGUCAUUCCUGCAUCCCAGAUUCCUGCCCUGGCACAGCCUGGAGGGCGUGGCUGUCACUCCUGCAUCCCAGAUUCCUGCCAGUCUCUCCACCACGGGGACGUUGUGCAUGUAUUACAUAAAUUAGUUUUAGGCUAUCAAAAUUUUCGUAAAUCAGACAUGCUCAAAUUGGGAGAUUAGUUUAGACCCGUAAAUUUAACCUUGAAAAAAUCUGUCUGCAGGUGCAGACUAGAAACGUCUCCCAGAAGAGAGCUUCGGAAUAGAAGACCAUCACCGCACCUGGAGGCUUCUCUACUCAUCUGUCUCUCCCAAUGGUGUUAUAAGUUUAUGGUGUAUCUCCGAAGCCUCCACAUUCACCGCGUGAUGGACGAUGUGGGUUCGAAUCCCCACGCUACCACCUGGGAUUUUUCAGUCACCGCUGAGUGGCCUAAGACUACCCAUCCUGGCAGUACCCAGAGAUCGACGAUAAAGAGCACCCGAACUCUAGAGGAAACCGUCCAAGUGAAUCAAGAAGGAGUUCCGGGGGGCAGCAUGAGCCAAUGCAGGAUGGCACCACUAUAAACACUUGCCUGCACCACAACGGGCUGGGGCCAACCAUCAGGCCCCACUACAAAGGCCUACCGGCGCCAUAGACGAAGAUGUAAAAAAAAAUAUUUUGUCAAAAUACCAAA